rnacentral:rRNA from 1 species
AUUGAACGCUGGCGGCAGGCCUAACACAUGCAAGUCGAACGGUAACAGGAAGCAGCUUGCUGCUUUGCUGACGAGUGGCGGACGGGUGCGUAAUGUCUGGGAAACUGCCCGAUGGAGGGGGAUAACUACUGGAAACGGUAGCUAAUACCGCAUAACGUCGCAAGACCAAAGAGGGGGACCUUAGGGCCUCUUGCCAUCGGAUGUGCCCAGAUGGGAUUAGCUUGUAGGUGGGGUAACGGCUCACCUAGGCGACGAUCCCUAGCUGGUCUGAGAGGAUGACCAGCCACACUGGAACUGAGACACGGUCCAGACUCCUACGGGAGGCAGCAGUGGGGAAUAUUGCACAAUGGGCGCAAGCCUGAUGCAGCCAUGCCGCGUGUAUGAAGAAGGCCUUCGGGUUGUAAAGUACUUUCAGCGGGGAGGAAGGGAGUAAAGUUAAUACCUUUGCUCAUUGACGUUACCCGCAGAAGAAGCACCGGCUAACUCCGUG